AUUGAACGCUGGCGGCAGGCCUAACACAUGCAAGUCGAACGGUAACAGGAAGAAGCUUGCUUCUUUGCUGACGAGUGGCGGACGGGUGAGUAAUGUCUGGGAAACUGCCUGAUGGAGGGGGAUAACUACUGGAAACGGUAGCUAAUACCGCAUAACGUCGCAAGACCAAAGAGGGGGACCUUCGGGCCUCUUGCCAUCGGAUGUGCCCAGAUGGGAUUAGCUAGUAGGUGGGGUAACGGCUCACCUAGGCGACGAUCCCUAGCUGGUCUGAGAGGAUGACCAGCCACACUGGAACUGAGACACGGUCCAGACUCCUACGGGAGGCAGCAGUGGGGAAUAUUGCACAAUGGGCACAAGCCUGAUGCAGCCAUGCCGCGUGUAUGAAGAAGGCCUUCGGGUUGUAAAGUACUUUCAGCGGGGAGGAAGGGAGUAAAGUUAAUACCUUUGCUCAUUGACGUUACCCGCAGAAGAAGCACCGGCUAACUCCGUG
rnacentral:rRNA from 1 species